GACGAACGCUGGCGGCGUGCUUAACACAUGCAAGUCGAACGAGUGGCGAACGGGUGAGUAAUACGUGGGUAACCUGCCCUUUGUGUGGGAUAAGCCUUGGAAACGGGGUCUAAUACCGAAUAAGGGGGAUGGGCUCGCGGCCUAUCAGCGUGUUGGUGGGGAGAUGGCCUACCAAGGCGGUGACGGGUAGCCGGCCUGAGAGGGUGACCGGCAACAUUGGGACGGAGAUACGGCCCAGAGUCGUACGAGAUGGAGCAGUGGGGGAUAUUGCACAAUGGGCGAAGGCCUGAUGCAGCGACGCCGCGUGGGGGAUGAGGUCUUUCGGGUUGUAAACCUCUUUCGCUAUCGAGGGGUAGGUGGAGAAGAAGCGCCGGCUAACUACGUGCCAGCAGCCGCGGUAAUAC
rnacentral:rRNA from 1 species